CAAAAACCUGAACACAGUGUCAGCUGGCUGGAGAGGGAUCGCUGGGAUGCUUAAAGUUUAUGCUAAGUGUAGGAGUGAUGGAGGAGGCAGCAAGUCUCCUUAGAGUUGACUCAUCCGAACCUCGCCCCAACUGCCUCGACUGCUCUUCACUUUCGCCCCUGACUGACUCCAGGAGGAGAUUUUAAUUACUCGGAGUCGCGGAUUCUCUCAGAUGAUUGCAGAGUUUCCAGAUGAAACAUGGAUGACACCUCAGUUUUCGUCUCCUGCGCUUAGUCUUCUCUGUGGUAUUAUAUGCCAUAAAAAUGUCCUAAAAAAGAUACAGAAAAGCACAUCAUAAGAAUAGCCAUAGCAAUGAUGUCAUAAAAAUGUAAUAGUACC